rnacentral:misc_RNA from 1 species
CAACCCUCAAGCACUGCUUGGUGUUGGGGCACUGCUUCUAACUAAGCAGGCCCUGAAAUCUAGUGGCGAGCUCGCCAGGACCCCGAGCGCAGUAGUUAAACCCUCGCUCUGGAAGGCCCUGGCGGUGCCCUGCCGUUAAACCCCCAACUUCUGAAA